rnacentral:rRNA from 1 species
GACGAACGCUGGCGGCGUGCCUAAUACAUGCAAGUAGAACGCUGAAGGAGGAGCUUGCUUCUCUGGAUGAGUUGCGAACGGGUGAGUAACGCGUAGGUAACCUGCCUGGUAGCGGGGGAUAACUAUUGGAAACGAUAGCUAAUACCGCAUAAUAGUAGAUGUUGCACGACAUUUGCUUAAAAGGUGCAAUUGCAUCACUACCAGAUGGACCUGCGUUGUAUUAGCUAGUUGGUGGGGUAACGGCUCACCAAGGCGACGAUACAUAGCCGACCUGAGAGGGUGAUCGGCCACACUGGGACUGAGACACGGCCCAGACUCCUACGGGAGGCAGCAGUAGGGAAUCUUCGGCAAUGGACGGAAGUCUGACCGAGCAACGCCGCGUGAGUGAAGAAGGGUUUCGGAUCGUAAAGCUCUGUUGUAAGAGAAGAACGAGUGUGAGAGUGGAAAGUUCACACUGUGACGGUAUCUUACCAGAAAGGGACGGCUAACUACGUG